AACACCCUCUUCCCCCUACGCGACGCGAACCGCACACUUGAAAUCCCCCCCCCCCCCCUCCUCUCCUCUGAUUUGGGAGCUUUUUCUAUGCAGACAUUAGCAGCUCGUCGUGGGGAGUGACAAUAGCAGGUUUAGAGUUAGAUUGUGGUGCAAGGAGUUUUGUUGAUAGCGGAAGGAUCCUUACUAGAGGAAAAAGCAAACAAGGUUCAAAUAAACAGGGCGUGGGCUCAAUUGUUUUCUGAUGUUUUUGAUGCAAUGGGGAGUGGAAAUCAAAGAGCCCUAAAGAGAGGUGCACAAUAAGGAUAACAUGAGCUCAUCACCUCUUCUUUUAUUGGGUCGGCAGCAGUUUUGCCACUGCACCAUCAGCAGCGUAUGUCAUCAGCUUGGGCAGAUGGAUGGAAAAUUGGCAGAUGUCGCCAAAGAAGGGCAAAAGAGAUUACCGAUGAACUAGCCCAACAUGCUGCUAUUAUGGGAGAAACGGGGGAGUUGUACAAUGAACGGUAUUUGCACAAAGGUGAUUACAGGGAAAUGAUAGAAAUUGGAAUUCAAUGGGUGAUGAGGUAUAUGGGUCAUCCAAGGUAUUUUCAUAAGAUGUUUCGGAUGAGCGUCGAGAUUUUUAUGACACUUUAUGACUUGCUAGUCUCUACCAACGGAUUGACCUCUAACAACAAUGUUUCAUCUAUUGAGUCAUCGGCGACGUUCUUGUGGAUUAUCGGAGGACCACAAUUAUUUUCACAAGCUGAAAAUCAUUUCACUCGGUCGCUUUGGACGGUUCACAUGAAGUUUUAUGAAGUGUUGAAGUGUAUGCGCAAGUUAGGUUCUGCACAUGACACGCGUAUCCUCAAUCAUGCAUUGGCAAAUUUUUCUUACUUUCCCGUGCCUCCUAAAGGAAAAUAUUAUCUUGUGGAUUCGGGUUAUCCAAACUGAAUAGGGUAUCUCGCACCUUACAAAGAAAGCACAUAUCACAUACCCGAAUUUCGGCAUCGUACAGGCCCUCCUCAUGGAAAGUAUGAGGUGUUCAAUUUCUUGCAUUCGUCCCUUCGAAAUGUGAUUGAAAGAUCUUUUGGAGUCUUGAAGCAGAAGUGGCGUACUUUGAAGAGCAUGCCAAGUUUCUCACCUCAUACUCAGAAGCAUAUAAUCAUGGCUUAUUUUGCUUUGUAUAAUUUUAUGUGUGAUAGCAAUUUGCGUGAUAAGAAGUUUGAGAGAUGUGAUGCUGAUGAGCAGUACUUGGUACCAUCUAUAAGUGGCACGGCACAAACAUAAGGAGAUGGGAGAAAAGAUGUAGAGAAUAAGGAUACCAUGAAUAUUAUUCAUGAUAAGAUUGCUAAUGACUUGGUUAGUGCGAGAGGAGGAUAGUUAUGUUGAGAUAUAUCAUAAUUUUAUGAGCCCUUUACCUUGUGUAAUUGCUACAGUUCUAUUUUUG